GUGGGGAAUCUUGCGCAAUGGGCGAAAGCCUGACGCAGCCAUGCCGCGUGAAUGAUGAAGGUCUUAGGAUUGUAAAAUUCUUUCACCGGGGACGAUAAUGACGGUACCCGGAGAAGAAGCCCCGGCUAACUUCGUGCCAGCAGCCGCGGUAAUACGAAGGGGGCUAGCGUUGCUCGGAAUUACUGGGCGUAAAGGGCGCGUAGGCGGACAGUUUAGUCAGAGGUGAACGCCCAGGGCUCAACCUUGGAAUUGCCUUUGAUACUGGCUGACUUGAGUACGGGAGAGGUGAGUGGAACUCCGAGUGUAGAGGUGAAAUUCGUAGAUAUUCGGCGGAACACCAGUGGCGAAGGCGACUCACUGGCCCGAUACUGACGCUGAGGCGCGAAAGCGUGGGGAGCAAACAGGAUUAGAAACCCUUGUAGUCC
rnacentral:rRNA from 1 species